rnacentral:rRNA from 1 species
AUUGAACGCUGGCGGCAGGCCUAACACAUGCAAGUCGAACGAGUGGCGGACGGGUGAGUAAUGUCUGGGCAACUGCCCGAUGGAGGGGGCUAACUACGGGAAACGGUAGCUAAUACCGCAUACCAUCGGAUGUGCCCAGGUGGGAUUAGCGAGUAGGUGGGGUAACGGCUCACCUAGGCGACGAUCCCUAGCUGGUCUGAGAGGAUGACCAGCCACACUGGAACUGAGACACGGCCCAGACUCCUACGGGAGGCAGCAGUGGGGAAUAUUGCACAAUGGGCGAAAGCCUGAUGGAGCAAUGCCGCGUGUAUGAAGAAGGUCUUCGGGUUGUAAAGUACUUUCAGUGAGGAGGCGGUAUCCGCAGAAGAAGCACCGGCUAACUCCGUGCCAGCAGCCGCGGUAAUUC